CAAGUGUAUAUCAACCCAUGCUAUAGCUGCUCUCAUUUAGUCCAAGCAAAUAUCCUGAUCCAAAAACAUGUUAAUACAUCCAUUCACAUUUAAACACAGUCAUACACAUAGCAUUAACAAAGUUGACCAGAUUGUACAUAAAUACACUAACUCAUUAUACCUAGGUGGCAUCAACACUCAAAUUCAAGGAUGAAAAUGUUGCCACACAAAUUAAAAGCUUCUAGACCAAAAUGGAUAUCAGUCUUAAGAAGACCCACUCAGACAUGUUAAUUUGUUUUUUACAUAGCAUUCAUAAAAUCCAUUAUUUGAAACAUUUUUUACAAGGCCAGCAGAUUCAUUUUGUAUGUGUCCAGUUUAAACCAGAGAGAUCUUUUUAUUUCACUAUAAAUCCACACUUGCCCACUACCUUUGAAUCAUUACACUACCAGACAGCAACAAUUUGGGUCUUGAGAGGCACUGUUUUAUGGUAAGCACCCCCCCCCCA